AGACAGUAUUCCUGAUGGGCCGAAGGCCUUCUUCCUAUCGGGGCGAGCGGCCUAGUGAGGGGAGCACCACGCUUCCCAGGGCAGAAAAGCACAGAGGCAGAGCCCGGGCGCCUCAGGCCAAGGCCCCGCUCCCACCCCUGUGAGAGGAGGUGGCGUCCACGACGGGACACAGCAGGCGCUGGGUCGCCACUAAUCCGGCCUACCACAGUGCUUCCCUGGUGGGUGUCUGGCCCAGUUCUUGCUGGGGCGACACCCGGGGACGCCACCGUGUCCCCUCAGGGCCUGCUGUGUACCCACCAUGGUGGGUGCCCUUGUCAUGGGAGCCGCUUGCCAACACGGAGCACGUGUGGUCAUCGCAUCAUCAGCGAAGGGCUGGAAAGCUGCAGCGCCAGAAGGCAAGCCCAGGCGUGUGGCCGUGGAGGCCGCAUCCUCAGCCACCGUGCCACUCUGCACUCAGGCUGGCUGGGCACACCUUCACCUUGUACAGCAGGAACACAGCAGCCACUUGCUUCCACUGAAGCUCCAGGCUGUGCCCGGCCCUCACCAGACUGAAAGAGAAAGUCUUAGAAUCCCAGGAGCCCUGGAUGGCUCAGAAGUGCCAUUGAGUACUAGGGGUGAGCCCAGGGUGUGCCAGGGCCCAGCUCUGCCCAGCCAGUCCCAGCAGGAAGGAGCAUGUCCACAACAUGGGAAAAUCCUGCCAAACACCGGGGUGGAUGGGGGACGCUCACGGUGCCAGACCUGGGCAAGGGGCCAUGAAGGGACCCUCAGAAAAGGGGCAAACACACACAUGGCUGUGGCCAACUGUCCUGCCCGUUGGGACUGCCCCAGAGGAGGGACUGAAAUAACUCAGGAGCAGAUCAAGAAGCCCAAGGCAGAAUUCUGGGGUCCUACAAGGCCUGCAGGAGGCCCCCUGAGUGGGGCUCCAACUUUCAACCUGAGAAUUCCAAGCCUCUGUCUGUCACCAUCAUCACCAUCACCAUCAUCAUCACCAUCGUCACCACCAUCGUCACCAUCAUCAUCACCAUCACCAUCACCAUCAUUGCCAUCGUCACCAUCACCAUCACCAUCACCAUUGUCAUCACUGUCAUCACCAUCGUCACCAUCGUCACCACCAUCACCAUCGUCACCAUCAUCAUCACCAUCACCAUCAUCACCAUCACCAUCAUCACCAUCGUCACCACCAUCACCAUCAUCACCAUCGUCACCACCAUCACCAUCGUCACCAUCAUCACCAUCGUCACCAUCAUCACCACCAUCAUCACCACCAUCGUCACCAUCAUCAUCACCAUCACCAUCACCAUCAUUGCCAUCGUCACCAUCAUCGCCAUCAUCACCAUCACCAUCACCAUCUCCAUUGUCAUCACCGUCAUCACCAUCAUCACCAUCGUCACGAUCGUCACCACCAUCACCAUCAUCACCAUCAUCACCAUCACCAUCAUCAUCACCAUCACCAUCAUCACCACCAUCAUCACCACCAUCAUCACCAUCAUCACCAUCGUCACCAUCACCAUCGUCAUCACCA
rnacentral:lncRNA from 13 species